rnacentral:tRNA from 1 species
AAACAGCUAGUUUAUAUAAAACAUUUGAUUUCGACUCAAAAACUUGUGGUUUGACCCCGCAGUUGUUUA